CGUCACAUGUGCAAACACUCAUCACUUUAUUGAACACCAACGAAUCAUUGGCUUAGUAUAGGCCUAUAAAUAGGUCAAAUGUCAAGAUGUCUGUUUUGAACAAUGGAUGACAACGCAGAAAGAGCCAGGAGAGGUGGAGGUAGAGGCAGAGGACGAGCACGAGGUGUUCGGGUUCGAGGAGGAGGAGUUGGAAGAGGAGGAAGGGGAGGAAGAGGACGAGCUGGACGAGUUGGACAUGGAAGAGGACGAGGGCAAAGAAGGGAAAUAAGGAGAGCCGUCUCAGAUGAGAUUAGGGCUACAUUGAUUGAUCAUGUGAUCAACCAUGGGUUGACCAUGAGGGAGGCUGGACUGAGGGUCCAGCCAAAUGUAAAUCGAUUUACGGUGGCAGGCAUUAUCCGAACAUAUCGAAAUGAGAACAGAGUGGAAAGGCAAAGGAAUCGUGGAGGGCGAGGGCGCAAAUUCACCGACGAGCAAGAGACCGAAAUCAUAAAUAUGGUUCUGGCAAAUAAUGUGAUUAGAAUCCAUCAGAUCCAACACCAUAUUAUAAAUGAUGCAACUGUUUUCAAUAACAUUGUUACAGUAAGCUUGUCCACAAUUCAUCGUGUCCUCCAGAAGAAUCAGUUGCGCAUGAAACAGCUAUACAGGGUCCCAUUUGAAAGGAACUGCGACCGAGUGAAGAACCUACGUCAUGACUUUGUGGAUAGAAUUUUGGAGAUGGAUGCAGAUGGAGAUGUCCUCCAUGAAUAUA